rnacentral:rRNA from 1 species
CCUACGGGUGGCUGCAGUGGGGAAUAUUGGACAAUGGGCGAAAGCCUGAUCCAGCCAUGCCGCGUGUGUGAAGAAGGCCUUCGGGUUGUAAAGCGCUUUCAGUGGGGAAGAAAGCCUUGGGGCUAAUACCCUCGAGGAAGGACAUCACCCACAGAAGAAGCACCGGCUAACUCCGUGCCAGCAGCCGCGGUAAUACGGAGGGUGCGAGCGUUAAUCGGAAUUACUGGGCGUAAAGCGCGCGUAGGCGGUCUGAUAAGCCGGUUGUGAAAGCCCCGGGCUCAACCUGGGAACGGCAUCCGGAACUGUCAGGCUAGAGUGCAGGAGAGGAAGGUAGAAUUCCCGGUGUAGCGGUGAAAUGCGUAGAGAUCGGGAGGAAUACCAGUGGCGAAGGCGGCCUUCUGGACUGACACUGACGCUGAGGUGCGAAAGCGUGGGUAGCAAACAGGAUUAGAUACCCUAGUAGUC